rnacentral:tRNA from 1 species
GAUAGUGUGGCCGAGUGGUAUAUGGCACAGGUUUUACGCAUCAGUCUAUUCGGAAGCAAGGGGUCGAAUCCUUUCACUGUCA